CAUCGCACGUUUGGCUCUCAAAUCCACACGCACUCAGAUUAUUGUCCGGCACAUCCCGGCUCCACCGACCGACACGACUGCAACUUAAUCUCAUCCUUGUGAAGUAUUAUUUUACGAUAAAUAACACUGGUUUUCCUGCAGCACACUAACUCCUGUACAGUAUAUCACAUGUGAAUGUUACACCCAGAGGCUCAUCUUUAAGCCCCAGCUUCUUCUCUUAGCACAGUACAUGUUACUGCAGUAGGAAAUGCAUUAUAACCACAUUUAUUUGCUUUUGUUAAAGCUUGUUUUGGAAUCUAAAAGAUUCCUGUCUUCUCAUGUGAGAAAAAAAUGUGACAUGCACUUAAGGGAUUAAAGUAGCCACUAUUAUCUGAAGGAAAGCUUAUAUACACACGGCAUCUAUUGCACGUCUGUCCGUCCUGGGAGAGGGAUCCCUCCUCUGUUGCUCUCCCUGAGGUUUCUCCCAUUUUUUCCUUUAAACUGUGGGUUUUCUCCGGAAGUUUUUCCUUGUACGAUGUGAGGGUCUAAGGAUAGAGGGUGUCGUUUUUCUCACACUGAUAUUCUGAACAAACAUUGCUGUUGUAUUUGCUGUAAAGUAUCUCUACUGUAGGCUAUUUUUAUUAUAUGUACAGCACUUUGGCUCGACCAAAAAUCGUUUAUAAAUGUGCUAUAUAAAUAAAACUUGAUUUGAUUUGAUAUAUUUGAUAUACUGAGCUGCAAAUAUUUCUGCUUUGUGAUUUAGUUGCAGCACAGCAGAUCCACCUGAGAUUGCCACUUUAGAAGAAUUACAGUAU